AUUCCUCCCUUGUGGAGUUUUUGCCUGUGAGCCUAGGUCUUCAGAGACAGGAUCCAAUGGCAAGCUGAUGUGGAGGACAACAGGGCACAAGAGAGCUGGUUGAACUUCCUUGGAGAACAAAAGCAGUCCUUUCUGAUGAGCAGAAAGGUGGAUGCCAUUUGAAUGAAAGCCUUUCCUCUUGCAUAGAGGUAUGUUUUCCCUAGUGCUAUGCAGAUCACAACUGCUCUGCUAUAUCUUCAACAUCUUCAUGACAAGAAAAUCAAUGUUUUGGUAUUUAUAUUUAAAUACAAAUAUAUCAUAAUUUUCAUUAUGCCUUUAUUGAUAAUG